CACGUAGUUAGCCGUCCCUUUCUGGUAAGAUACCGUCACAGUGUGAACUUUCCACUCUCACACUCGUUCUUCUCUUACAACAGAGCUUUACGAUCCGAAAACCUUCUUCACUCAUGCGGCGUUGCUCGGUCAGACUUCCGUCCAUUGCCGAAGAUUCCCUACUGCUGCCUCCCGUAGGAGUCUGGGCCGUGUCUCAGUCCCAGUGUGGCCGAUCACCCUCUCAGGUCGGCUAUGUAUCGUCGCCUUGGUGAGCCGUUACCCCACCAACUAGCUAAUACAACGCAGGUCCAUCUGGUAGUGAUGCAAUUGCACCUUUUAAGCAAAUGUCAUGCAACAUCUACUCUUAUGCGGUAUUAGCUAUCGUUUACCAAUAGUUACUCCCCCGCUACCAGGCAGGUUACCUACGCGUUACUCACCCGUUGCAACUCAUCCAGAGAGCAAGCUCCUCCUCAGCGUUCUACUUGCAUGUAUUAGGCACGCGCCAGCGUUCG
rnacentral:rRNA from 1 species